GCAGCCAUCAUUUAAAGAAAGCGUAAUAGCUCACUGGUCGAGUCGGCCUGCGCGGAAGAUGUAACGGGGCUAAACCAUGCACCGAAGCUGCGGCAGCGAACGUAUCACUUAAAGCGAUUCAGCGGAUGACGAUUGACGGAGCGAAGCGACGUCAAAGCGUAUACAAAGUCGAGUCGGUUUAAGGAUACGUUCGUUGGGUAGGGGAGCGUUCUGUAAGCCUGUGAAGGUGGCCUGUGAGGGUUGCUGGAGGUAUCA
rnacentral:rRNA from 2 species